rnacentral:rRNA from 1 species
GACGAACGCUGGCGGCGUGCUUAACACAUGCAAGUCGAACGGUGACGAGGAGCUUGCUCCUCUGAUCAGUGGCGAACGGGUGAGUAACACGUGAGCAACCUGCCCAGACUCUGGGAUAACAGUUGGAAACAGCUGCUAACACCGGAUACGAGACGGAGAGGCAUCUCUAACCGUCUGGAAAGUUUUUCGGUCUGGGAUGGACUCGCGGCCUAUCAGCUAGUUGGUGAGGUAAUGGCUCACCAAGGCGACGACGGGUAGCCGGCCUGAGAGGGCGACCGGGCCACACUGGGACUGAGACACGGCCCAGACUCCUACGGGAGGCAGCAGUGGGGAAUAUUGCACAAUGGGCGAAAGCCUGAUGCAGCGACGCCGCGUGAGGGAUGAAGGCCUUCGGGUUGUAACCGUACUUUCAGCAGGAAGAAGCGAAAGUG